rfam:Bacillus sp. VT-16-64 NODE_154, whole genome shotgun sequence.
AGCAAUAACUGGGGGUGCCCAAUGAGUUGGGCUGAGAGGAGAAACACGAUGAAGUUUCUUAACCCUUUGGACCUGAUCUGGUUAAUGCCAGCGUAGGGAAGUUAGUCGGUAGUUUU